UCUAACCCAAUUUUUUUUCUCAUUUCUCAUCUUUUUCCUUUUUCUCUCAAAGAAGAAGAACGACAACUCCAAACCAACAAAAUAGACAAAUUUUGGCUCCAGCGAAAGAAAACCCCCUUUUCGAUUUCAUUGAUAAAACGUAAAUCGAUCUCUCGUGGGGAAGAAGAAGAAGAAGACGAUGGGAACAAUGAGAAAAGCAUUGUACAACGUAGGAUUCUGGAUCCGGGAAACUGGUCAAGCACUUGAUCGGCUCGGUUGUCGCCUCCAAGGCAAAAAACACUUCCGAGAACAUCGUACUAAUUACAAUGGUUAUUACAAGAGGAGGGGGAUCUAGUUGUAGAAGCGAACCAUAUGCCUCUCUUAGAAGUGCCAAAAGACAAAAGCAAUUAGAUCCAAAGCAUUCAGAGAUAGCAACUGUAGUGAGGUCUGAUUGUGAGACCAUGGCUGCUAGUUUUAACAUAGAUUAUGGUGAUUAUAGAGGUGAUGGAGAGGUUGUUUUGUAUCCAAGGUUGUUGGUGAUAGUAGAGGUGAUGGAGAGACUGUUUUUUACCCAAGGCUCUUUGGUUUCUAAGGUUUUUUAUAAAUCUAAGUGUUUAGGUACAAUUGUUCGGAUGUGUUUUGGUUUCUAAGGUUAUGUAUGAAGCUAAUUGUUUAGGUACAACUGGUACGAUCAGGUACAACUAUGUUUCUGGGUUUAUGUUUUUUUGGUUUAAAAACCUAUCUAAUUAUGUAUGUAUCUUUGAAUCUGAAUCUUAAUAUUUUUAUGUAUGAAUCUAUGUAUUGAAUAUAA